rnacentral:rRNA from 1 species
CAUGCAGUCGAGCGAGAAUCUGAUUGUUGAAGCUUCGGUGGAUUCAUUCAGAGGACAGCGGCAAACGGCGUAGUUAUGCGUAGGUACGUACCCUCAGGUCGGGGAUAGCCACGGGAAACUGUGGGUAAUACCCGAUAACGUCUGCGGACCAAAGGUGUGAUUCCGCCUGAGGAGCGGCUUACGUGAUAUUAGCUUGAUGGUGGGGUAAUGGCCUACCAUGGCGACGAUGUCCAGGGGGUGUGAGAGCAUGGCCCCCACGACCGGAACUGAGACACUGUCCGGACACCUACGGGUGGCUGCAGUCGAGAAUCUUCCGCAAUGGGCGAAAGCCUGACGGAGCGACGCCGCGUGCGGGAUGAAGGCCCUUGGGUUGUAAACCGCUGUCAGAGGGGAUGAAAUCAUGGUAGGCAAUCCUUCCAUGUUGACAGAGCCUCAAAGGAAGCACGGGCUAAGUACGUGCCAGCAGCCGCGGUAACACGUACUGUGCGAACGUUAUUCGGAAUCACUGGGCUUAAAGGGUGCGUAGGCGGUUUAUCAAGUCAGAUGUGAAAUGCCUGAGCUCAACUGAGGCACUGCGUUUGAAACUGAUAGACUUGAGUAUUCCAGGGGUAUGCGGAACUGCCAGUGGAGCGGUGAAAUGCGUUGAUAUUGGCAGGAACACCAGUGGCGAAGGCGGCAUACUGGGGGAUGACUGACGCUGAGGCACGAAAGCCAGGGUAGCGAACGGGAUUAGAUACCCCGGUAGUCCUGGCUGUAAACGAUGAGCACUGGGCGGGAGGAAGCCUGCUUUUUUCUGCCGUAGCGAAAGCAUUAAGUGCUCCGCCUGGGGAGUAUGGGUCGCAGGCUGAAACUCAAAGGAAUUGACGGGGGCUCA